rnacentral:rRNA from 1 species
AUGAAAUUGAUUUUUUUUUCGUUACUUGACUUUAAAAAUUUUUUAAUUGUUUUUAAAUUUAUAAUGAAAUUAUUUUUUUAGAAGACUGUAAAGGUUUUGAUUUAAUUAAUUAAAAGUAAAUAUUUUUAUUGUACCUUUUGUAUCAGGGUUAAUUAAUUUUAUUAAAAUAUUUUCUUUUCCCGAAAAUUUAAGAUUUUAAUUUAUUUGAUUUUAAUUGUUUUAUAAAUUUUAAUUAAGUAAAUUAAGUUUUGAAAAAAAAAUCGUUUAACUUGAUAUCUGGUUAAUUUGGAUUUAAAUUUAAUUUAGGAUUUUUAUUUUUUUAAAUUAUUAUUUUUUAUAAUUUUUAAAUCAAAUUUAAUUUAGGUCAAUCUAAUUUAAUUAUUAUAAUUUUUAAGAAUUGAAUAUUAGUAGGAUUAAAAUCUUUUUUCUAUGAAAUUUCGUUUUAGAUUAAUUUCUAUUUAUUAAAAAUUUUUAAUUAUUUACAAAUUUUAUUAAUUGAAUUAUUUUUUUAAAUAAUAAUGAUUAAAUAAGUAAAUUAACAUUAAAAAUUUAUGAAUUCAGCAAAUUUAUUUUUUGACUGUUUAUCAAAAACAUUUUCUCUAGUUUUUUUUAUAGGUAAAACCUGCCCAAUGAAAUUUAAAUGGCUGCAGUAAUUUAACUGUACAAAGGUAGCAUAAUAAUUAGUCUUUUAAUUGAGGUCUGGAAUGAAUGGUUUAACAAGAGAAUAACUUUAUUAAUUUUUAAUAAUUUGAAUUUAAUUUUUUGGUUAAAAAGCUAAAAUUUUUAAUUGGGACGAUAAGACCCUAUAGAUCUUAUUUUUUUAAAUUAAUUUUUUAUAUAAGUUGAUUUUUUAAAAUAAAAUAAAAAAAAAUUCGUUGGGGUGACGUUGAAAACUUUAAAACUUUUAAAAAUCUUAUCAUUAAUUAAUGAUAAAUUGAUCUUUAAUUUAGGAUUAGUAGAUUAAGAUACCUUAGGGAUAACAGCGUAAUAAAUUUGGAUAGUUCAUAUUGAUAAAUUUGUUUACGACCUCGAUGUUGAAUUAAUUUAAAAUUUUGGAGUAGAAAUUAAAAAUUUGGGUCUGUUCGACCUUUAAUUAAUUACAUGAUUUGAGUUCAAACCGGUGUGAGCCAGGUUGGUUUCUAUCUAUUUAAAAAUUUAUUUAAUUAGUACGAAAGGACUUUUAAAUUAGGAAUAUUUUUU